CCGAUUUUUAAUUUGCAACUUAGGUGUUCUCUAUGUGCUCUCCAUUAACACGAAGUUUCACUGCGUAAGGUUGGAACGAUUUUUUUGUUAAACUCGGUAAACCUCAUUUAAGUAGCCUACACGAUUGGGUAUGGUAUGGAUUGACUUGGCGCAUUUUACGGAGAGAUCUUAAAUUGAAAGCGUCCAAAAUCAAGCUUGUGCAAGAACUGAAGGCGCUGGAACUUCACAAGCGAAAUCACUUCGCUCUAUGGGCUCUUAAAAAUUUCCAAGAAGAUCCGACGUUUUCGAGCCAACGUUUGUUCAGCCAUGAUGCCCAUUUCUAGCUCAAUGGAUAUGCAAACAAGCAAAUCUGCCGCAUUUUGGACAAAGAGCAAGAGAUUAAAGAGCUGCCAUUUCAUCCAGAAAAAUCAAUGGUUUCGUGUGGUUUGUGGGCCCGGUGAAAUCAUUCGUCCAUAUUUCUUCAAAAAUGACCGUUAUCGCAUCACUUCCCACUCAUCUUAUCAAUCAAUGGAUUUAUUGAUAGAACACUUUGUGUCAUUAAGCCAAAGAACCACUCGAAGUAAUGAAAAUACUGCUGCACUUCAGGCAAAUGUUGCUGAUGACUGCAAUUUGUCGUU